rnacentral:rRNA from 1 species
AUGGCCACCAGCCUCUCUGAUCUGGUUAGUGAUCAUUCCCUGGAUUUCAUUGGCUUGCAAAAAACUAUGAAAAAGGACUUCACUCCUAAGUGUCUUAGAAGAAUUGACCCCUUUGGCCUGUUUCAGUGGGAAUGGAUCCCAUCUAUGGGUAAAUUGGGUGGCAUCCUAGGGGGAGUUAGACAGGACACUAUGAACAUUACUUCUUCCUGUAAAGGCAAAUAUAUCCUACAAUUGAAUAUCCAUGACAAGAGGAAGAAAAAAGACUAGGGCCUGCUAGUGGUUUAUGGCUCAGCCCAUGAGGAGUUCAAAGAAGAGUUUUUAGUAGAGUUGGCUGCUAUGUGUGGCAACAUGAAUAUGCCCUACAUUGUAGGGGGGAUUUUAAUAUCCUUAGACAUGAAAAUGAGAAGAAUAAAAAUAUGA